UGGCCGGUAGCUCAGUUAGUUAGAGCGUUGUCCUGCUAUGCCAAGGUUGUGGGUUCGAUCUCCGAUCAGGGCAU
rnacentral:tRNA from 1 species